AAUUGAUAUGGGUUUAUUUUUUUUAAAAAAAGCAGACCUUUAGAAAUCAACCAUAUUGUUAAAAUAUGAAUGCCAUUUCAAUUGCACAUAUGCUCAACCGUAGUGCGUGAAAUAUUGAUGGGGUGCAUAUAUUAGAAAAAGGAGACCUUUAGAAUUUGAAAUGACGUUUAAACAAAAGAUUGUCUGCUCCCGGGAACAAUCUGCCAUGCAUAAUGUACGUAGAUCGCAUGUUACGCACUCGUGGGCACAGCAAAGUGCUCCAGGAUUCAAAUUAUAACAAUGGUUGAUUUCUAAAGGUCUCCUUUUUUUUAUACACCCUGUAUAACUCGUCUGAAUCGAUGGUGCAUUUACAUUUUACAAUAUUGCAAUUUUCAUUUAAUUAAAUCAACACGAAGUAAUAGAUGACAUAAAGUCUCAUCUACGCCUCUACUACCCAAUUUAUCCCAAUUCAUUGUUAUUAGAGUCAUAGGCGUAU